CAACAAAACAAAACAAAACAAAACACACACAUAUGAUCAUAUAUUGUCCUGUCAAAUCAAUCAAUGUUUUUAGUGCCAUCUAAACGAAAGAGACGAACGAACGAAAACAAUUGUUUCCUUUUUCGGUCAAUUUGAAUAUUAUAACGGUCAAUCAUUCACACCCAUCUACUAUGAUCAUUGUCAUUGCCAAUUUUAUUCACGCCCAAUCAAUUUACAUAUAUCAAAGGAUAAUAACA